AAGUUGUGUAAUGGGUGUCUCCUAAAAUUAAAAAUAGUGGUUGACCCAAGAGCCAGGAAACGCUUUUCCAAGUUUCGGUCAUUUUCCCAGAGGAAAACAGAGGGGACAGAAAGAUCCACUCGUGCCCCAUAACUUCCCUGCCUGCUGCCAACUUUCUUGUCAUGGAUGUGAAAAGGCCAUCACUGGAAGAUAGUUGAGAUGUUCAUUCCAAGAACUGACAUCUCCCCUUGCCAGAUCCCUUCUGAAAACCCCUCCAAGGCCCGUCUGUUAGUCUGCAGACAGGAAUUUGCACGUCCACAGUGACCAUAACAUUAAAUUUAUCUGUAUCUGCGGUCUUUCUCGA